rnacentral:rRNA from 1 species
AGCAGCCGCGGUAAUUCCAGCUCCAAUAGCGUAUAUUAAAGUUGUUGCAGUUAAAAAGCUCGUAGUUGAAUUUCGGGGUCAGUAGGUCGGUCGUGCCACUGGUAUGAACUGGUUUUACUGAUUCCUCCCUCUUGAAGAACUGUAAUGCCAUUAAUUUGGUGUUGCAGGGAAUCAGGACUGUUACUUUGAAAAAUUAGAGUGUUUAAAGCAGGCUUUAGCUUGAAUACAUUAGCAUGGAAUAAUGAAAUAGGACGUUUGAUCCUAUUUUGUUGGUUUCUAGGAUUGACGUAAUGAUUAAUAGGGAUAGUUGGGGGCAUUAGUAUUCAAUUGUCAGAGGUGAAAUUCUUGGAUUUAUUGAAGACUAACUACUGCGAAAGCAUUUGCCAAGGAUGUUUUCAUUAAUCAAGAACGAAAGUUAGGGGAUCGAAGACGAUCAGAUGCCGUCGUAGUCUUAACCAUAAACUAUGCCGACUAGGGAUCGGAUGAUGUUAAUUUUUAANGUACUCAUUCGGCGCCUUAA